UCGUACCUCGUUACAUAACCGU
rnacentral:miRNA from 1 species